GGAUGGAGCAGACAGCCUUGAAUGUCAUCAGAACCCAAGACGCGGUCAGGUUGCCUGGAAAACAGGCUCAGAUGGAAAUUUGUGUGCAGGAAGUUUACUGAGGAUUAUUCUCAGGAUCAAGAUGGUGAGGGAGUAGGAAACAAGAAUAAGAAGAGAAGCCUACCUCCUGGUGCUGAGACUCCUUCACUGCCAUAACUUCAAGCCAACAGAUGAUCCUUUCUACCCAAGGAGAUUCACAAAUGUUGUCUACCUUGGAUUUGGCUGCCUCUGCCGUUUGUAACUCCUAUAUAUAAGUUCCCCAAUGGAUCGAUGUUGACCCGUAGGUAGGGACAUCUCUAUGCCCCUAUUCAGCAGGAAGACAUUACAGAAGAUAAGACCUUCCACCCUCAGCAAUCUUAAAGAUUUAAGGGUCAAAAUUGUUCAUGGGGUA